UGAGAAACCAUUUCCUGAAAGUUGACAAUGGCACAAAGCCAUGAAUAUUGAAGUCGUGUAUACAAGGAUGAAUGAGAGAAAAGGGGCCAAGAGAAGCAGCAAAAAGCUUUCAUUUGGUUUUCACUGUUUUCCAAAUUAAACAUUACAACUUCGUAGAAAUAAUAAAAAUUUCAAAUUUAUCUGAAACAAUAAAACGUCUAGCAUGGAACUUAUCUGUGAAAAAAUUCAUCCAUCAAUAAAAAAAGAUCAGUGCGUGAAUGAUAUGAAUCAACCAACAGGAUUAGCCGUGAGAAGCAAGGGCCUGGCGUGUAUACCAGAAGAAAUUCUAGAAGAGCUGGAACUCGCAUUGCUGACUUGGCAGAAACUUCUAGAAAGAAUGAAACAGUCGAGGAAAUGGUGGGGACUCCAGAGGGGAAGGAGAAAGUACAGCUGUUAUGUUAUGCAUGAAACCAGGGGGGGAAGUUGUAUAAGAAAGAAGUUAUCAGCUAAAUAAGGCAUGAAUUGAGUAGAUUGCUCUUCCUCGGCAGAGUAUUGGGCCAAGGAUUCCCGUUUGGAAUCACGUUUGAUUAUUUUCUGUAGUUUUCCUUUUGUUGCUGAAUAGUGUAUUGAGAGAUUCUUUUCCAGAAUUUGCGUUGAAUUGUUGCUGAACUCUGUAAUUUCCAUGUGGAGUAGAAAUUCAAUAAAAAUAGAGGCCCCAUUUUAAUAAUUUUUCCCCUUCAAAUUCCUAACCCUAUCAAUUUGGCCCAACCCUGCUGGUAUUCCCUAAUUCUUGUGAAUGCAAAACACUAGAAUAGAUUCUCGAAUUGACACGAUAGAGGAAUUUGUCGGCUGUUGAAUGUGGCCUUUAGAAAAUUCACUCAGAUUGGGAGCAAACUGAUAAGAAAGUUACUGGGCCAUAAGAUGAAGUGUCACAGAACCGCAAGAAGAUUGAUGUCAUAGAGGGCUUACCACUCUCAUCAAAGGCAAAGCAGUGCAGGGCAAGAGUAAAGUUGUUUCCCAAACUCCUCCGAGUUUACAGCUCAAGGAGAAACUUCUGCCACCCAUACCAUCAUACUGCCAAAUAAGCUUCACCUAUCUGCCAAAAAGGUGGAGAUGCCCUGUUUCAAUAGAGAGGACACAAUUGGUUGGCUAGCUCAUGUUGACCAAUAUUUCACAAUAAAUCGCACUCUAACCGAUAUGAAGGUCCCUUUGGCUAUUGUCUGCAUGGAAGGUACCACCCUACACUGGGUUCAGUGGUUGAAACACCCUUGAUAUGACUUGGGAAAACCUCUUGCAAGAACUUCAACAUUAUGGCGGUGAUGCUCUCACUAAUCCAUUUGAGCAAUCGGCAUGAAGAACAGAAAACACUUCAGUUCAUUUGGACUUCAAAUUUGCCUUUAGUUUUCUCAACUCUUGCCCUUGUUGCUUGUACAAUUUUGUCCAUUCCAAAUCUACUCUUUCUUGCAACAAGCGCCAAUCCAUGGCCAUAUCAUACUCUAUCGUAUUGGGCUGAGAGCAAUGUGAAGUAGAGACUGCUUCUUUCAUCUCCCGUUGCAUUUGGAGUCUAAGUUUAUCGAUAUAGAUAUGACCAAAAAAUGUUGACGGCUUUCCAGGUAAUCUAAGAGUUGCAAUGCUGCCAACCAGAGGCCUCCCAUUUGAUAGCAAAAGGCAACUUUCAUCUAAUUUCGUAAGAGCAAUUUUAGCGGCUUCACUUGUUUUGAAUAUAACAAAAGCUUGACCAGAAUGUGGGCUAGAAAAUGCAGUUCGUUGAAUCAUCUUUGCUGUGCAGUUUUCCUUGAAAGCAUGCCAAACAAUAUCCUCCACUUCUGCCGAAGUAUAAGAAGGAUCCAAAUUUUGAAGCAAGACAAGCCUUCCUUCUGCAUGUGCAUUUUGCAUUCUUUCCUCCCAAGGAGGUCUCUUAAACCAUUUGCUUUUAUCAGCUUCUGGUCUUCGAGUGACUUCCACUUUUUGAUUUGCAGUUUUGCUCGCAUUUGAAGCCUCCCUAGGAGAUUCUUCAAGCAAUUUGCCAUUUGCAAGUUCUGUAAGCUUCUCAUCAAGCUUUGGUUUCUUUGAAGAGAUAUUCUCAGUCCAAUGGGGAUCCUUUGUGAGUUUACGUUUAGAUUUUUCUUCAGAAGCAGUGGCUGUUCGAUUUACAGCCUUAACAUCACUGCCACCAGAAUCAAGAUUUAAUUUCUGCACAAUUUUCUUUCUGUCAUCAGAUGCUUUCAAAGAAUCAUCAAGUUUUGCUUGCUUAGAUGGCCUAUCACUAGAUCUACCAGAAUCCAUUGUAGCUUUUACCUUCUUCUCAGCUUGAAACUCAAUGGCAGGAACUUUAACUGCCUUACUUUCACCCCUAACAGGAUCACCUUUAGACCUCGAAGAGAUCUUGUCAUUAGACAUGCUUUCCUGUCUAGCUUUUUUGGCCAUUUCACCCAACUCUACACCUAAAUUAGAUGCAUGCUUCUCUCCUAAUGAGGACUUCUGUUUAACCAAUGAAGGUGUCAGAUGUGCAAUUUUUUCAUUGUCAGAUGCUGAACUGACAUUAGAAUCAGGCAAUGCAUUCUUGUCUGCUGCUACAUCAGCAACUGCAGCAUUUGCAGUGGUAUUAUCGUUUGAAUCAGGAACAGCAUUGGAUUUCUGAAUACUUACUCUGUUAAGUAGAAACUUAAAGUCAAUUGCAGCAAUUUUAUCAUCUAUCUUAUCCAAGAUAACACGGCGCCCAACAUCAAAGGUACGGUAAAAUAUGAAGUCAGCCAUUUCAAGUUCUUCGUUCGAGGGCUGUGGAUUUCUGCUGUCCUUUGAAAUGCAAACGACAUUACAUUUUCCAGCAAUUGUUUCCUGAGUUAACGGAUGGAAAAUUAGCAACUCAAUAGCCUAGCUUAUACUAGGCACCUCCACGUACACUAAAUACAUUAAGCACACAAAUCAGUAGCUCAAGGCACUAAAAAUGUAAAAUCAAUUUAUUACUGCUUAAAACAUACAAGCAGGUGGAUGUUUGUUUGCAAUUCAGUCAAAAACAUCCACAACAAUAUACAAAGACCAAUGCAAUUACAAAUACUUACAAAAAAAAAAUUGCACUAAAUUUACAUAUGAAUUAUAGAUAUAUAUCAAAUUACCAAGUCUCAAGGAUUUCUAAUUGUGAAAGGCAUAUGCAAAAGUUAAAUUGGUUAAGCCAUAUGCAAAGUUUUCCUGAUUCUGGAAGCCAUAAUCAAAGAGUUGGCAUUGCUAGCUCUAAAACCUUCUCAAAAGAAUCAUCAAUUUAACUAUUAUUAAACAGACUUUUUCAUUAUGGACAAAUGUCCAAGUUUCCGACUCAUCUGUUUUUAGGAGAUCUUCCAUUGCAUUGAAAACACCCAAACAUGCAUAAUAUCAGCUGUGUCCAACAGGAACAUCAAAUAUAAGCAAAGGGUCCAGGUAAGACAGCCCUUAAAAUGCCUGAGUGGCUCAUGCAUUUUCUGUCUAAAAAUAUCAAUUCCAACAGGAAAAUAAAUAGGAGAGGAAGUCAAUAAAUGUAAUC
rnacentral:misc_RNA from 1 species